CCAAAACCUACAAACAAUCCCACUCACUGACCCAGCUCAAUCAACGAGACCCGUCAUCCAAAACCCUCUCAAGCUUCCUCUUUUGCGAAAAUCGAGCAAUAUCACCCCAGAAAAAAGUUGGAAAAACUAGUCUCUCCUUCAAUGAAAUUCCCGAAAGAAACGUAAAGAUUGGUAUAUACAAAUCAUCACCCCUUGAGCAAAAUUCAGAACACGGAUUCACGGGAGAUAGAGAUUCAAUUCAAAAAAAUUGUGGAGUACCCAUGAAAUUAUGCUCCGAGGAAAAACUAAGGGACAACGAUUAUCGAGGGUUUGUGCAAUAA